CAGCAGUAAGGAAUUUUGCACAAUGGGCGAAAGCCUGAUGCAGCGACGCCGCGUGGACGAUGAAGGCCUUCGGGUUGUAAAGUCCUUUUGCCGGGGAACAAUAUUCUGAGUGUACCCGGAGAAUAAGAGGUUGCUAACUCUGUG
rnacentral:rRNA from 1 species